UUUGUUUUCUUGUAUAUUAUAUAUAUAUAUAUAUAUAACUCGUCUAAACAUCAACCCAAUAAUGUUAGAUCUGUAAAUUUGCUUUCGCAAAUUUUUUGUUCUUCCCUCGCCGGGAUUCGAACCCAUGCUACUGUGAUAUCGUGACACCAAAUCGCCUGCACUGCAGCCGUCCCGCUAGACCACACGACCACCUGGGCUCUUAAAAA
rnacentral:lncRNA from 1 species